CUCCUACGGGUGGCAGCAGUGGGGAAUUUUGGACAAUGGGGAAACCCUGAUCCAGCAAUGCCGCGUGUGUGAAGAAGGCCUUCGGGUUGUAAAGCACUUUUGUCAGGAACGAAACGGACUGGGCUAAUACCCUGGUCUAAUGACGGUACCUGAAGAACUAAGCACCGGCUAACUACGUGCCAGGCACGCCGCGGAAUUC
rnacentral:rRNA from 1 species